CCUACGGGUGGCUGUAGUGGGGAAUAUUGGACAAUGGGGGAAACCCUGAUCCAGCAAUGCCGCGUGUGUGAAGAAGGCCUGCGGGUUGUAAAGCACUUUCGGUUGGGAAGAAAAGUUUGGCGCCAAUACCGCCGAACCUUGACGUUACUGACAGAAGAAGCACCGGCUAACUCUGUGCCAGCAGCCGCGGUAAUACAGAGGGAGCAAGCGUUAAUCGAACGUGCUGGGCGGAAAGCGUGCGUAGGUGGUGAAAUCCCCGGGCUUAACCUGGGAACUGCAUUCGAUACUACAUGGCUAGAGUAUGGUAGAGGGAAGUGGAAUUUCCGGUGUAGCGGUGAAAUGCGUAGAUAUCGGAAGGAACACCAAUGGCGAAGGCAGCUUCCUGGACUAAUACUGACACUGAGGCACGAAAGCGUGGGUAGCAAACAGGAUUAGAUACCCCAGUAGUC
rnacentral:rRNA from 1 species